AAAAUACCAGUUCCCGUACAAUCACAGAAGUUAAGCAACGUCGAGUGUGUUCAGUACAUAGAUGGGUGGUCGCUUUGGAUUACCAGGUGAUGUAAG